rnacentral:rRNA from 1 species
GACGAACGCUGGCGGCGUGCCUAAUACAUGCAAGUAGGACGAGUUGCGAACGGGUGAGUAACCGCAGGUAACCUGCCUAUUAGAGGGGGAUAACUAUUGGAAACGAUAGCUCAUACCGCAUACUAGUAGAUUGACCUGCGUUGUAUUAGCUAGUAGGUAGGGUAAUGGCCUACCUAGGCGACGAGACAUAGCCGACCUGAGAGGGUGACCAGCCACACUGGGACUGAGACACGGUCCAGACUCCUACGGGAGGCAGCAGUGGGGAAUAUUGCACAAUGGGCGCAAGCCUGAUGCAGCCAUGCCGCGUGUAUGAAGAAGGCCUUCGGGUUGUAAAGUACUUUCAGCGGGGAGGCGUUACCCGCAGAAGAAGCACCGGCUAACUCCGUGCCAGCAGCCGCGGUAAUUC